rnacentral:rRNA from 1 species
AUUGAACGCUGGCGGCAGGCUUAACACAUGCAAGUCGAGCGGGGUGAUGGUGCUUGCACUAUCACUUAGCGGCGGACGGGUGAGUAAUGCUUAGGAAUCUGCCUAUUAGUGGGGGACAACAUCUCGAAAGGGAUGCUAAUACCGCAUACGUCCUACGGGAGAAAGCAGGGGAUCACUUGUGACCUUGCGCUAAUAGAUGAGCCUAAGUCGGAUUAGCUAGUUGGUGGGGUAAAGGCCUACCAAGGCGACGAUCUGUAGCGGGUCUGAGAGGAUGCUCCGCCAGAGGGGGAGUGGGACACGGCGCAGACUCCUACGGGAGGCAGCGGUGGGGAAUAUUGGACAAUGGGGGGAACCCUGAUCCAGCCAUGCCGCGUGUGUGAAGAAGGCCUUAUGGUUGUAAAGCACUUUAAGCGAGGAGGAGGCUUACCUAGUUAAUACCUGGGAUAAGUGGACGCUACUCGCAGAAUAAGCACCGGCUAACUCUUUGCCAGCCGCCGCCGUAAGAC